rnacentral:rRNA from 1 species
UGGGGAAUUUUGGACAAUGGGCGCAAGCCUGAUCCAGCAAUGCCGCGUGCAGGAUGAAGGCCUUCGGGUUGUAAACUGCUUUUGUACGGAGCGAAAAGGUCUGCCCUAAUACGGUGGGCUCAUGACGGUACCGUAAGAAUAAGCACCGGCUAACUACGUGCCAGCAGCCGCGGUAAUACGUAGGGUGCAAGCGUUAAUCGGAAUUACUGGGCGUAAAGCGUGCGCAGGCGGUUAUGCAAGACAGAUGUGAAAUCCCCGGGCUCAACCUGGGAACUGCAUUUGGGACUGCAUAGCUGGAGUGCGGCAGAGGGGGAUGGAAUUCAGCGUGUAGCAGUGAAAUGCGUAGAUAUGUGGAGGAAAACCGAUGGCGAAGACAGCCCCCUGGGUCAAGAUUGACGCUCAUGCACGAAAGCGUGGGGAGCAAACA